rnacentral:lncRNA from 1 species
AAGAUUCCACGAGCCGAAAUCGCGCCGUGUCAACCUCGAAGGCGAAUGCGACUUCGCCACUUUUCGGCUCGAAGCCUCGGAUUGAAGUUUUGGUCACCCUCAGCACAACCCUCAGCGACGUCCGGAAGUUCGUAGGUAUCCCUUGCCUUGACUUUCGACGCAUGUUUAGGAGAAACAUUAAUACCACUGCUGGAUGUUAUCUGGUUGUUGGUUGCCACGACAUCGAGUGGGAUUGUGCACGCGUUAUUUAUUAGUAUCUUUCGUGAUAUGACCCUAAACCCUGGAUCUCAGAAAUAAUAUGACGAGAAUACUUUACGAAGCUUUAGGUUUCGGUGUUGCAAAAAUGAAGAGCAGGUGUGAAGAGAUGAAAAGAAAUACAAGCGCCUUCCACUACGCAGUUGCGAAAAAUUCAAAAAGGACAGAGCUUGGGACCCUCUCGCGAUCGUCAUCAGUGAUAUAUUCUUAAGCGGGCUUCGCAAAAUUCUUCUUCGUCUCCGGGCCGAAUAACAACCCACAUAAUUGAAGACGAGCGUUGAGCUGGGGUCUUGGAUUAUCUAUUACGUCACUGCGCUGUGUUAGUUCGUCGCCUACCGCUUUCAUAAAUUCGCGGGUCGUUUCCUGGAGGUCACCCACACGUACAUCUUCAGCAAAUGCAGAGACAGCGGCAAAGGAAGAAGCGGAUAUGGCACGUGCAGUGGUUGCGUUGAAGUGAGAGUGGCAAAGCUCCCCAUCCCCGCACGAUGUCCUGUGCCCUUUCA